rnacentral:lncRNA from 1 species
GGCAGCUGCUCCUACCCCUCCACCCCGCCCAACCUUCAGCUUCUGAGGCUGCGCAGGGGGAGAAAAGGGUUAGGGGGUCGAGCCCUGACUUCGCCUCCUCUUCCAAGAAGCCUUCCCAGACACUCAGCUGUAAAACCAGACGGACGUCCUCCGAUGAAAUUGUUUCUACUUAGGGCCGGCUUCACCGGCUUGGAAUCCACUUAGAAGGGUCUUCGCGCUUGGUUGAAUGUUCUGCAAUUUCUGUCUUGAAAUUUUUAGUUUUUGAGCAAGGGGCCCCUUAUUUUCACUUUGCACUAGGCCAAAUAUGUAGCCGGUCUUGCUGCUAAGAGUCUAAGAUCGAUUGCAUUCCAAAUUCUGGAAUUAUAAGACCCUGGGUGGAAGAUUCUAUGCUUUGACCAGAAGAGAGUCUAAGCAGCUUUUGUCUCCCAGGUGCUAGGAGGAUGUGUGCUCAUCAUUCUUCCAUUCCAGGGGCCUUUGUUCUACGUUCUAAGGGGCUUUGUUCUCAGCCUUCUAUGAUGCUCUAUUCUCAACGUUCUCUGGUCCUAGGAGUCUGAGCCUGACAUUCGUUUCCAAGGCUUCCUGCUGUCUCUCCAGGCUCCGCAAGCAGGGCUGGGGCACCCUCAGGCGGCCAAUCUGUAUCACUACGCCGAGCCUGCCUCUACCAACUUCCAAGACCUAGCUCUAAUAUUCAUACUCAUCUCUCAGACAGACCUUGGCUCCCUAAAAGCCAAGGCCCAGAAGAUCAUACAAGAAAUUCCCUCUUUUAUGAUUCCCCGUGCACGAAGUGACCUUCUGGUGGUGAGAUGGAGAGAAAUUGAUAGUGGCGAUAGACAGCAAAGUCUCCAGGAGCCAGACUUCCUCGGGAAACUUGGGGCACGUGUGGAGUGUGAGUGAGUGAGCUGCUGGAAUGAACUGACCAGACAGGACAUCAUCUAUGUAUGGGAUUAGAAUGGAAUUACAGGAGAAAACCAAAUCCCUCAAAUUAGCAUUCAGGAUCGGAAAAAAAAUGUCAAGUCCAAUGUCCCUUUUCUUUACAGUAUAUACAAGUGUCUCUAUCAACAUUAGGUUUUGAGGUUGAGUGCAGUGGCCCACACCUGUAAUCCCAGCACUUUUGAGAGGUGGAGGAUCGUUCAACCCCAGGAGUUCAAGACCAGCCUCGGCAACAUAGUGAGACCCCAUCUCUAUAACAAAUAAAAAACAUGCCCGGG